ensembl:snRNA U2 U2 spliceosomal RNA
AUUGCUUCUCGGCCUUUUGGCUAAGAUCAAGUGUAGAAAUUACAUAUUCUUUUAGUUCCCCCACUUUACAUUUAAGUAAUCAGAGUUAUGAAUAGUUAUUUUUUUAUUUCAAUCAACACAAGAAUAGAAAUCUUUGUUUUGAUCAGUAAUGCCAGUGCAUGGCCAAUACAUGGUGU